GGUGGGUAAAGGCCUACCAAGCCGACGAUCUGUAGCUGGUCUGAGAGGACGACCAGCCACACUGGGACUGAGACACGGCCCAGACUCCUACGGGAGGCAGCAGUGGGGAAUUUUGGACAAUGGGCGCAAGCCUGAUCCAGCCAUGCCGCGUGCGGGAAGAAGGCCUUCGGGUUGUAAACCGCUUUUGUCAGGGAAGAAAUCUUCUGGGUUAAUACCUCGGGAGGAUGACGGUACCUGAAGAAUAAGCACCGGCUAACUACGUGCCAGCAGCCGCGGUAAUACGUAGGGUGCAAGCGUUAAUCGGAAUUACUGGGCGUAAAGCGUGCGCAGGCGGUUUUGUAAGACAGAGGUGAAAAUCCCCGGGCUUAACCUGGGAACUGCCUUUGUGACUGCAAAGCUUGAGUGCGGCAGAGGGGGAUGGAAUUCCGCGUGUAGCAGUGAAAUGCGUAGAUAUGCGGAGGAACACCGAUGGCC
rnacentral:rRNA from 1 species